GGGGUUUUAGCUCAAUUGGUAGAGCACCUGCUUUGCAAGCAGGGGGUUGGGAGUUCGAGUCUCCCAUUCUCCA
rnacentral:tRNA from 1 species